rnacentral:rRNA from 1 species
AGCAGCCGCGGUAAUUCCAGCUCCAAUAGCGUAUAUUAAAGUUGUUGCAGUUAAAAAGCUCGUAGUUGAAUUUCGGGGUUCUACCGUUGGUCGGGCUAUUGUCUGUACUGGCGUGUGGAAUUUCUACCUUCUGGGGAACUAUCAUGUUAUUAAUUUAGCGUGGUAGGAAACCAGGACCUUUACCUUGAAAAAAUUAGAGUGUUCAAAGACAGGCUUAUGUCUGAAUACAUUAGCAUGGAAUAAUAAAAUAGGACGGUGGUCCUGUUUUGUUGGUUUCUGAAUCACCGUAAUGAUUAAUAGGGAUAGUUGGGGGCAUUAGUAUUCAAUUGUCAGAGGUGAAAUUCUUGGAUUUAUUGAAGACUAACUACUGCGAAAGCAUUUGCCAAGGAUGUUUUCAUUAAUCAAGAACGAAAGUUAGGGGAUCGAAGACGAUCAGAUACCGUCGUAGUCUUAACCAUAAACUAUGCCGACUAGGGAUCGGAUGAUGUUAAUUUUUAAUGACUCAUUCGGCGCCUUACGG